rnacentral:misc_RNA from 1 species
GUUAUGGGCUGCGGAGGACUAGCCAUUGCGGCUGCUCCCGCCUUAAACUUGCUGCACGACCGCAAGCUAAUGCUAGGUAAUGAAGUGGUGUUUACAUAUAUUUCAGCGACCGUUCAUGGCUUUGUGGCGUUAAAACUGUUGCCACUCGUGGUGAUUUGAUUUUUGACCUCGAAUCAGACAAGGAUACCCGCUGAACUUAA